rnacentral:lncRNA from 1 species
UUUUCAGAAUUGACUGAAAGCUGCUGAGAAAGCUCUUCCUUGCUUCUUAGUUCUUAAAAGGGCUUUGACACACUGGCAAGAGUCCAGUGUUUGGAACUUUGGGUUCUAAGCGAGGAGGGAGCGGCUACAUUUACAUGUCCUGGCAAUUCCUCUUUUUGCUACUUUUUGGAGUUGUUCUCUGGAAAAUUUCCUGAUAUUGCCAGGAAGCUGCCACUUUGAAGGAUUUCAUCUCUGAAAGAGAGAGAAAGACUAGGAGGUGAGACCUUGGGAGGCCAAGUGCUGCCCGUGGCUGAGCUGGAGAGUACCUGUGUUGAGCGUGUCAUUCAUCUUAAAGUGAUUGACCAUUUAUGGGGAUGGUGAGAAGGAGAAGAGCAUAAAGUAGAUCAAUGGAAAGAAGGCAGAAAAUGGAGAAACAGGAAGAAGGAGACUGAGUUGGGGGAGUACUGGGAGAGCAAUGGAUUUGAGGAAAAGAUGAAGAUGAUAAGAUUAUGUGUGAUGGGAGAGACUCAUAAAUGUCAUGGAAUAAUGGAAUUUGAGUCUGCAUUGUUUGACUACAUUUGUGCUCCACGCUUCUAGUCGGCUGCCCGACAUUUUCCAGAUCGACUCACUGGUCACUUCAUAUCUCUCCUCUCUUCAAACCAGCAACCUCCUUCCUCAGCCUACACAUUUUCUUUCAUUGAGAAAAAGAGAAGUAAUCAGAUGAGAACUUCCGUAUCUUUCCAUAUGGAGUCUUCUAAGCUACUUGGAUUUGUGUCCAGAUAUUCUGCCUCUCCUCCAUCUCUGUGAGAAAGACUGAGACCUGGGGCCUGGGCCCUUGGCUGCAGUGCUUCACCUGGACAAAUGUCUCUUCAAGCAACAAAGUACAGUGAGGUCAUAAGGGACUAAAAAUAACUGUGUGCAUAUGGAAAUUAU